GACGAACGCUGGCGGCGUGCCUAAUACAUGCAAGUAGAACGAGCGGCGGACGGGUGAGUAAUGCCUGGGAAUUGCCCAGUCGAGGGGGAUAACCGUUGUAAACGACUGCUAAUACCGCAUACGCAUGGCUUUCCCAGGUGGGAUUAGCUAGUUGGUGAGGUAAUGGCUAACCACGGCGACGCUCCCUAGCUGGUCUGAGAGGAUGAUAAGCCACACCGGAACUGAGACACGGUCCAGACUCCUACGGGAGGCAGCAGUGGGGAAUAUUGCACAAUGGGGGAAACCCUGAUGCAGCCAUGCCGCGUGUGUGAAGAAGGCCUUCGGGUUGUAAAGCACUUUCAGCGAGGAGGCGUUACUCGCAGAAGAAGCACCGGCUAACUCCGUGCCAGCAGCCGCGGUAAUUC
rnacentral:rRNA from 1 species